rnacentral:tRNA from 1 species
GGGCUCGUAGAUCAGUGGAAGAUCGCCUGCUUUGCAAGCAGGAGGCCGGGGGUUCAAAUCCCUCCGAGUCCA